UUUGGCUUUUGUCCUUUUGAUGAAAUAAAUGUCAUUUGAGCAUUGGGGUCAAUGUAAUUGACUAGUCCCCUUCCUUGAAAUUUCAAGCAUUGUGCCUAAUGUAGAAAGGAUUAUUAUUAAUGUUACUGACAGUACAAUGCUCUUCCAUGUCUGUCUAAUUUGUCUUAUAGUUCAAAAUACUUUGAAAGCAUUUCAUUCUUUUCUUGACAUAUAACACUAGAACACCUCUUCCUCUCUGCCUGUCUUUUACCUAGCUGUACCUGACUUUUAUCUUCUGGACAUCAUUCCUCUGCAUAUUAGCUAUUAGCUGAACUAUUGCUUCCCCGUAUUGCUCUAUUUGACAAGCCUCUGCUGUAACUAUAAAAUCCCAUAAGAAAUCUGAGUGCACAAAGUAUAAUGUGAUUAUCUGGAACUAUAUAUAAUUAACCCUGGAAAGUAAUAAAAUGAAUUAAACAAUUCACAAUGGGAGGUCAUGGUGUUGAAUGUGCUACAUGCUUCCCAAUCAUUGCUGUAUAAAGCUACUCAUGUGACACUUUAUGUGUAGUUGUAUACAGCUGACAGGCUCUUUUAAUUUUUCUAGAAAAAUUUUUACUGGAUAAACACUUCCCAAUUUACCUUUGUUAGAGGUAAUGUAAUUUGAAAUUGAAAUUGUUAGUGAAAUCGCAGAACUUUUAGACGCUAAUCCCAAUUAUGCUCAUUUCAGGGUGUGGAAGAUGUUGUUUCUACAAGAGAUUUAGAUCCUUGUUAUCUCCUAAAAUAGGUUAAUGACUUGCAGUAAUUGAUAACUAGAGAAUAGCUUGCUAUCCUCCAAAGUACAGCAGUUCUCUGUUUCUGACUUUGUAUUCAAUUAAGCAAUAUUUGAUUGCACUGUGUGGAAGUUGGCUCUCAGUGUCAUAUGCCUAUUUUCUUGUCAUAAUGGUUCUUGGUUUUCAGUCUGAGCUGACUAUUCUCCAACCUAUGCUAGGGGACAAAAGAUGCACUCCUUACAAUGGAUAAUAUACAUUGCGUUAAUAAUUGUUUGGCUAUCUCUUUGAUUCUUGGUUCCACCUGACUAAUGACUCAGAAGAUGGUUGGCUAGUUGACUAACUCCAAGUUAUUAUUACAUAAACAAAGCCAUCAAACAUUUAACAUAUGACAAGAUUUUAUAACAGAUCAUGCACACGCACACUUUACGUAUAUAUAUAUAUAUACACACACAUAUACACACACAUGAUGGCUGUUGGCUCAUGAAACAUUUAUGACCAUGGCUGACUAAAUAUACCACUGCAUAACAUAUUGUGAAAACGACAAUGGCUCUUGAAUCCUGCUCGCAACUUACAGAACUUGUUGCAGAUUUGACAUUCAUACAAAUUCUUCUGACUUCUUAAUUGUUCUGGAUUAUUCUGAUGAUUUUUUUUUUUCAGUGCACCCUCAUAUACCUAAAUACUCUGAGUGAUUUAUACACAUGUUUUGGGGAAAAUAGUGCAUGUGAGGUUGGCCCCUGCAAGAAAAUCGUUGUAGUUUGUUCCAGUUCUUUCUGUAUGGCUUCUCUGUUGGCUUACCAGGCCUGUGCAAAACAAACAUAUGCGGCCGUAGACUUCAGACUUGAUGAGGAACUGUAGGGUCAAUGGAAUUGUCAUUUCAUGCUGAUCUCAUUAAGCAUGCCCACUCGUUUGCAUUUCACUGGAAUGUGCUCACUUCAUCUUAGACUCUUUGCUUCCAGGUUUUCCUAUCAUGUGAUAUGUCUUCCCACACCUGUUCUGAAAUCUCACAGAUUCCAAGCAAUACUUUUACAUUGUCCUUAAAUUGCUUUCUUGGCCUAUGUUGUGGUUGAGUACCUUGUGACGGUUUGCCAUACAUUUGCUUGAGAAUUCUACUGUCAUGAAGAUGCACAACAUGACCAACCCAGCACAUUUGGUGACAGUGAAUGUUGGCCUCAGUACUCACUGCAUUGGCUAAAACCUCUGUGUCAAGGGUAUGUGUCAUCCAGUGGAUGCCCAAGAUAUUUCUGAAACAUUGCUGAUGAUAACACUCAAGUGUUUUUAGGUGUGGCAGUACACUACCCAUGUUUGACACAAAAAUAUGCACGUGUUGUAGACUGCCAGCUUUUCUAGGACCAGACACAACUCUCCAGAGCAGCAAAGGCAUCAGUGUCCCUUUUUUUUAUUAAUGCAGUGAUCUCAUCGUCCAUAGGGAAGCAACUGUUGGUAAUGCUGCCCAGGUAUGUAAACUUACCAACCACCUUCAGUUUGUGGCCAUCAACAUAGAUAGCUCUAUAUAUGGCAUUCUAGGUGCAGGUUGGUACAUUACUACAGUUUUGUCAAGGCUGAUGGUGAGGUCAAAGGUCUUGCAGGAGUGUCAAAAUCUAUCCAUCAAGUUUUACAUCACCUCUGCUCUGUGUGGCUGAAGAUCACAAUCAUUGGCAUAUAAGAGGUCAUGUACCAAGGACUGGAGAGUUUUUGUCACAGAAUGCCAAAUGGGCAUAAUGUUCAAUAUGGUAUGUACACGCUUUCCUCACAGUCACUGAAAGCAUGCAGAACUACAGAGAAGAUUGUGAAUACUGCUAGGGGCAUCAUUUUAACCUUCUACUAGUUUGGUCAUCUACGCUUCAGAACAAGUUAGUCUUGUGCUACCUCCACUCAAGCACUUCUGAUUUACACAUCUUUUCUCCUCUCAACCCAGUCCUUCAUUCCCAGAAUGUUGCCUCUCUGGGAUUCCCACUCUGUGUGCAUUUUUCCUUCAGCUGUCAAUUUGCAAUUAUUCAUAAAGAGUGUUAACUUGGAUUUAACUAGUCUUGAGAAGCAGAGGUGUGCGUACCUUAAGCACAGCCACUUCAUUGACCAAACUUAUC